GAAGACAUCAAUCAGGGUAGAGUGGUUCUGCAAGAGAGGUUGGUAUUCAAAUCCAAAGGCCGGGGAAGGUCUUCCUGCUGGCACCAGGUUGUCCUCUGGUGUCAGUGAUCUGAGGGAAUUUGUGAGUCGGAUGCCAGGGAGGAGGGGCUCCAGGCAGAAGGAAGAGCGCAAGUAGGCCCUUAAGAUAGGCCAGGAAAGCCCAAAUACCGCUGGGAUUUUAGUAUUAAAAGCUAUACUCCCUCCAGUUACCUCCUGGAUGCAAAGCUGUCUAGAUCCAAGUGAGCGUGCCCCUGAAAAUGAAGAAGGAAUCAGUGUUGGUUUCCCAGCUGGGAGGCAGACACAGCUCUCAUAGCUUGUCACCAAAUGCUAGGGACUGGAAGUGGCUGAGAGUUCACAUUUAAGAUACCUGAGAUAGUUUGGGGAGGGGACCCAAGUGUAAAUGCAUAAUUCCUUUAUAUUUCAUAUACAUCUCCCACAUAGGCUGAAGCUGGCUUCACCUGAUAUCUUUAAGGCAUCUGUGUUUUUCAUACAACCUGUUGUGUUGAGGGGAAGUUGAGUGUUGAGCCUUCUGCCUGGGGCAUCGUAUUGUCUCGGUCAGGGAUGCUAAGCCUCUAUUUCUGGUGGGGCUGUGUGUAUUUAAUCUAGAUUCCUACGUUUUUAAUCUGUCUUUCCAUACAUUUAUGUCUGUCCUUACUUGGGAUUGUAUUGCGUGGCGUCUGUUUAUCUGAGGUUUUGAUCACCUCUGGUUUUUAUUGAACUUGAUACAUAGAUACGUAUUUAUUAACUCUCUGGCCCCAGUGCAGAGUUUGCAAUGUUUCAUAGAGAAUUUUUUUUUAAAGGCCACUUUCUGCACUGGAAAUAAUGAAGCUGUUCUCACCAAAAAAAAAAAAAAAAAAAAAAAAAAAGAGUAAAAACCAGGAUUUGUGUGUUUGAAAAGUAAAUAAAGCUCAAAUUGCAGGUGGGAUGGAACAGUAAGGUGACAGACGGGGCGGCUGGCAUCUUACCUAUGUGGGAGCAGGGCUGUGGGUUCGCAGCUCUCUGGGGAUUGCUGCCCGGACAGGGUUCAUCUCCUCUGCAGGGAGCAGGCUUAAUUUUUUCAGCCUUAUAUUCUUUACAGAGUCUAUCCUCACUCCCGACCUGCCCUGCAGGGACCUUCGGGGGAAAGCAUUUAACUUGAGGAGUGUUCCUGGAGCCCCUAGAAACUUGCUUCUGGAGCCCCUAGAAACUAAUUUUUCUUACCUUUUGUUGCUUAACACUUGGUGCUGGCCGUGCCAAAGUCAUCCCCUGAGAAUCUGUCCUGAUAGGAUCUAGGAGAUUUGGCACUUGUCUUUAAGUUCUUAUGCCACAGAUAAAAGUGGUUUCCUUCCUACCUUGGCUCGUGAAGAGAAUCGCACUGCUAAAAGUGCUAUUAAUCCAGCAGAGCUGUCAGCGUGAUGCAUGGACCAUUAUAAUUCUUGCGUGUUAGGCCGUUUCCUUUAGGAACCCUCUCUUGGGGGCUUUUAAGUUGAUUAGUUUUCUCUUGGCUGAAGGAAGCCUGCCCAGAAAGCUGGCGUUUAUAUUCUUGGCCUUUGGAUGGAUGUGUGAUGCCGUGGGUCAGAGUGGCAACAGCUUCCCCUUUUCUCCCAUUCUGUUCAUUCGUUAGGAUUCCUUCCAGGUUUUAAUUCCAGCCUGUGUGAGUCUCAGACUGAGACUCACAACUAACGUUUGCUUUCGGUCUUCUGUCCACCGACAAAGCACACAGAAACCUUAUAGUUAAUUUAGCGUUUUGGAAACUUAAGAGCAGGGAUUGGGGGUGUAGUUCAGUUUCUCUUGUUUAGCAUGCACAAGGCCCUGGGUUCAAAACCCAAUUCUUCCUUCUCUCUGAAAAUAAAGAGCUGUGUGAGAUGGCGUGUAACUCCGUGAAGAACAUGCAUCUACCAUGUGCAAGGUUCUAUGCUCGAUUCCUAACUCCUCAAAAGUAAAUAAAAUAAUAACAUGAAUUUUAGGAAAUUGGCCAUGCCUUUACUGUUAGUAAAAUCUGUGUUUACUUGUGCUUGUAAAACAUGUAGCAAGUGCUAGACUUAGGAAUUCAGGAAGGAAUUAAGGAUGCAUCGUGAUGCAUCGUUGACGUGGACCGUCAGCCUUUUAAGUUUGCUUAGACAUCACCUAGAGAGGUGUGAGCAUACUGCUUUCUCCCGAUGGUGAAGAGGGUGUCCUCUUUCCUGGAAGAUCCCUUUGAGAAUCACGAUGUGUGGCUAGUGGGGAACAUGCUAGUACAGCGAUAGCUUGACCUCUGGUAUCCCGAUGAAUCACCCUGAAUUCACUAGCACAUCACCCGGAAGUUUUUCUGGUGUGCCGAAUGACCAAGUACACAAUAAGAUAUCUUGUCAGAGCCGAAGCCAUGUUAGAGUCAACAGUGGGACUGUAGUGAUUUCUGGACCAAUAGGAAGGCGCCUUACGUUAGUACACUUGCAUCUUUUUUGCUGUGGUCAUCAACCUCAAUUCCUGUUUCCUGGGGUGCCAUUUACUGUCUUGGUGACUGUGUCCCUUCUGUGGUUUCUUAAGAGUAGAGACUGUGUCUCUGUCAUUUACUGCUCAACUCUGGCUUCUAGAAUGCUGUAGUCCUCACCAACUACCUCUCAAAUGCUUAGAUCUGCAUGCUGUUGACAGAGCUAGCGCGGUGCUUCCCAGGGAGACAGACCCUCUUUUUCUUAUUUCAUUUCAUGUGUUUUCACAUGUGUUGUCUUGCGUGUGUACACUUGGAAGAGAACUGGGCAGACUCUGCAACAGGGUCGAGGCCAAAUAGAGUCACAGUUGUGAAGCUGUGAAGAUGCCCUCCCCCUACCCCCCUUUCUUGCAGUUAUGGGUGACAGAAUUGUGCCUUCAGGACAGGGAUGGAGACUAGGAAUGCUGUCUGGGAGGCCUGAGUGAACCGGGAGUGUCCCACUUGCUGGUUUCCAGGGUGCGUUUCUGUCUCCGGGCCACUGUGUACCAGAUUCAUGCUCACAGGUUGGAUUUGCUCCCAGAUUAAACCUGUUAGUCAGCUGCCGAGCGAGCGAGGUUUGCAUUUGUCCCUUCUUAGCCCUUCCUCCCCGCCCUCCCACACAUCAGAGGUACCCGAGUGGCUGAGAAGUGAACAGUAGCAGCCUAUUUUCUUUAUGAUUUCAAUUCGUUAGGAAAAUUUGAUUAGAUAUGCAUCUUGAAGCUUUCUAGUUUUGACUGAUUUUUUUUUUGAGGUUUG
rnacentral:lncRNA from 1 species